UUAUUUUCAUUUCUAUCAGCAUCUUUAUCUUUAGGAAAGAUAAGAUGUAAACUCGAUUCUAACAUGAACUCUAAAUAAGGAGGCAAUUCAAAUUUCAAAAUCCUCUGAAUUCGAAUCUCAUUUGAAGAAUCUCCUUUUUCCUUUAAACGUGCUCUCCCAUAUCAGAUCAUUUCACAAUUCACUGCCAUUACCACCACCACUAAGCGUGCCGACACCAAAUCAGCAACACCCACUCUAGCUCCACCCCUGCCACUCCGUCCAGUGAACCUUGGUGCAACUUCGUCCUCCGCAACCCCACCCUUUAUCAAAAAUCGAUACUAUGGAAGACAAAUGAUGUGUGGUCUUUUGAUUUCAUCGUGAAUGCAAAAAAGAUAAAUCUGGAAUUUCCCCCGAACCCCCCUUCUCUCUCUCUCUCUCUCUCUCUCUCUCUCUCUCGAUUUCAUCUGGAUUCAAUAUAAAGGCUCUUAUUAUUGAGCAUAAAUUAGGGAUUUUUGUUUUCUACUUGAGAUUUAUGGAAAAUGGGGCGGUAUUUGAUAAAUUCAUACUGAUUUCUUCUACAAAACACCAAUAUCUCAAAAGGUAAUGUAAAAAUUAAGGUAAUUGAUGCUCUGUUUUUUUGGUUUCAGGAUUUCAUUUCUUUUAUGUGCUCUCUUCCUGUGUGAUUCAUCUGGUUUAUAUAUCUGAAAGUAAGUACAUCACAUUCUUUUAUCUAAUCAGUUAAUGUUUUUAAUUUUUGGGUUUCAUUUAUUAAUGGUUCAAUUAACCUUUUUCCCAAUGAUUAACUCUGAUGAAGAAGCAAAUCUAGGUUUUUUUGAUAGAGCUUGGAUUACCCUGUUUGCCAGAGAUGGAAGAUAAAGACAAAGGGUGUAUAUCGAUUUUUUCCCAGUGCUUAAUACAUAACUUUGUGCUUUUUUUUCCAUUUCUUUUUAAUGAUUCUUUAAUAAGGUGUAGCUUACAUUGAAUUGUCAUUUGAAAUAACCAAGCAAGAGCUACCUAAACCAUUUAAUUCUUAUUAACAUUCAUGAUAUGUGGUGAUGAACACGUGUUUUGGUGUAGGUUGUAAUGGCCAAAUAUGCUAACCUGAUUGAACAAAGUCCAAUGGAAUUGACUAUCUGAAAUGGAGUAACUAAAAUAAAAAAUCCAAGUCUAAUGGCAGCAGUUGCCCAUAAAAUGGCUGAAUCAUUUGUAUCUAUAAUGACCAUUCACCGCAACUGAUAGAUUAAGUAUAUAUAUAUAUAUAUAU
rnacentral:lncRNA from 1 species